GAUGAAGAACGCAGCGAAAUGCGAUAAGUAAUGUGAAUUGCAGAAUUCAGUGAAUCAUCGAAUCUUUGAACGCACAUCGCGCCCCCUGGUAUUCCGGGGGGCAUGCCUGUUCGAGCGUCAUUUCACCACUCAAGCCUCGCUUGGUAUUGGGCAUCGCGGUCCGCCGCGCGCCUCAAAUCGACCGGCUGGGUCUUCUGUCCCCUAAGCGUUGUGGAAACUAUUCGCUAAAGGGUGUUCGGGAGGCUACGCCGUAAAACAACCCCAUUUCUAAGGUUGACCUCGGAUCAGGUAGGGAUACCCGCUGAACUUAAGCAUAUCAAUAAGCGGAGGA
rnacentral:misc_RNA from 1 species